rnacentral:lncRNA from 1 species
UCUUGACCCCCUGCACUUGCAUGCUUAUAAGCAUUGGAUAUUCUGGGUCUGUGCCUGCAGAGAGAGAAACCUUCAUCAGUCUGUUGUCAUGAAAUUCAGUGGAGUUCUUCUGCUGACUUCAGUAGCAGCAGAUCGGGCCCUGUGUGUUCCUAGCAGCUGCGGCACUGUUUUCUGCCUCAGUUCCCAGUCUGGCAGCAUCUGGU